AGUAACAACCAGGCUUGUUGACUGGCGUCUAGCUUUCUACGGACGUCCGCCUCUCUAAACCUGGAAGAAUAAUGUAGCACGAUUUAAUUCUGCCCCUGUAACAUUUCGCUUCUUGGGCACUACGAGCGUGCUCACAUCUUCCUCACAAUGAUGUGACGACUGUGAUGGGAUGUGACGAACACACUACAGAAAUACUGUAAAUAUUUUGGGUGCCGUGAUUUAUUUGAGUUGGACAACUGUAUUCGCAUGGCGGCAAAAGUGGAAGAGUUUGAACUCACGCGACAAUGUUGACAUGGUGGUGUGAAUCAUUGAGUCAAAUCGUUACCAUGAUAAGACAUCAACACCAGUACGCGCGAGUAGCUUACAAGUAUCGUGUGCUUAUCUUAUGACUUUAUGAGUGACUCAUCUAGUUAGACCUUCGAUCCAAGUGACUUUUUCAUGACC
rnacentral:misc_RNA from 1 species